GUGAAUCAUCAAAUUUUUGAACGCAAAUUGCGCCUUUUCGGAAGGCAUGUAUGUUUGAGGGCACCAUUUAACAAAUAAUGUGCAUGCUGUGUGUAUUUUUACGAACACGUGUACACGUUGAUGAGCUUUUCCAAAAAAAGAAAAUUUUUUGGUGGCACAUAAUGUACAGCGUGAGCUUUCUUCCAAUUUUUCGGAGUGUAGUAAAAUUUUUUUCGGCAAUUGUGUAGUUGGACAGUGUUGGCA
rnacentral:misc_RNA from 1 species